rnacentral:rRNA from 1 species
CACGUAGUUAGCCGGGGCUUCUUCUGGAAGUACCGUCACCCUCUGGGCUAUUCACCCGAGUGGCUUCGUCCCUCCUGAAAGCGGUUUACAACCCGAAGGCCUUCUUCCCGCACGCGGCGUCGCUGCGUCAGGCUUUCGCCCAUUGCGCAAGAUUCCCCACUGCUGCCUCCCGUAGGAGUCUGGGCCGUGUCUCAGUCCCAGUGUGGCUGAUCAUCCUCUCAGACCAGCUAUGGAUCGUCGCCUUGGUGGGCCAUUACCCCGCCAACAAGCUAAUCCACCGCGGACCCAUCCCCGGCCAGAGGCCGAAGCUACCUUUCCCACGUUCCCCGCAGGGAUGUGGGGCCAUCCGGCAUUAAUCCGAGUUUCCCUCGGGCUAUUCCGGUGCCGAGGGCAGGUUAUCCACGUGUUACUCACCCGUUCGCCGCUCGUCCCAGGGCCGAAGCCCUGGUUCUCGCUCGACUUGCAUGUGUUAGGCGCGCCGCCAGCGUCGUCCGUGACGCCGACGG